rnacentral:rRNA from 1 species
AUGAACGCUAGCGGCAGGCUUAACACAUGCGAGUCGAGGGGUAUAGUUCUUCGGAACUAGAGACCGGCGCACGGGUGCGUAACGCGUAUGCAAUCUACCUUUUACAGAGGGAUAGCCCAGAGAAAUUUGGAUUAAUACCUCAUAGUAUGCAGAGUUGGCAUCAACACUGUAUUAAAGUCACAACGGUAAAAGAUGAGCAUGCGUCCCAUUAUCUAGUUGGUAAGGUAACGGCUUACCAAGGCGACGAUGGGUAGGGGUCCUGAGAGGGAGAUCCCCCACACUGGUACUGAGACACGGACCAGACUCCUACGGGAGGCAGCAGUGAGGAAUAUUGGUCAAUGGACGCAAGUCUGAACCAGCCAUGCUGCGUUCAGGAUGACGGUCCUAUGGAUUGUAAACUGCUUUUGUACGAGAAGAAACCCUCCAACGUGUUGGAGCUUGACGGUAUCGUAAGAAUAAGGAUCGGCUAACUCCGUGCCAGCAGCCGCGGUAAUACGGAGGAUCCAAGCGUUAUCCGGAAUCAUUGGGUUUAAAGGGUCCGUAGGCGGUUUAGUAAGUCAGUGGUGAAAGCCCAUCGCUCAACGGUGGAACGGCCAUUGAUACUGCUAGACUUGAAUUAUUAGGAAGUAACUAGAAUAUGUAGUGUAGCGGUGAAAUGCUUAGAGAUUACAUGGAAUACCAAUUGCGAAGGCAGGUUACUACUAAUGGAUUGACGCUGAUGGACGAAAGCGUGGGUAGCGAACAGGAUUAGAUACCCUGGUAGUCCACGCCGUAAACGAUGGAUACUAGCUGUUGGAAGCAAUUUCAGUGGCUAAGCGAAAGUGAUAAGUAUCCCACCUGGGGAGUACGUUCGCAAGAAUGAAACUCAAAGGAAUUGACGG